AUUUCAGCAGUUUAUAAAAUAAUCAGUAGCACUUAGGUGACAGAGAUGUGGCGACCAAUAAUUAUUGUUUUAAUGUUGACCUUUAUUUUGGUAUCCGGAGGGGUAUUCAAAAGACAAGCGCAGGACACUAUGUCGAGGUCCGGUGACAAGUACUAUAAACACCACAAACAUCAUAAGCACCAUAAACACGGUUGUGACUGUUGGUUGUUCUGAAAGUGGAAAGUUCUAGAUGGACAUUGAAAGAAGUAUGUAGGUAAUUUUAUUGGUAAUUUAAACAUUUGGUACUUCAGAACAGCUGAUCAGAUAUAAACAACAACAACAACAACAAAAACAUUUAGUUAACCUUUUACUCUAUCUUUAUUCAUGUACUACAGCAUACUUUACUUUUUAUGUAAAGUAGAAAUCAGUAAAACCAUAUAACUUUGC